rnacentral:tRNA from 1 species
GCCUGGCUGGCCCAGUCGGUAGAGCAUGGGACUCUUGACCUCAGGACCGUGAGUUCGAGUCCCACAUUGGGUG